GAGGAGCAACCGCAGCAUGUGCGCUACCACCUCCGCAGAUGAAAAUCUUUUUGAGAAGGAGAGAUAAAGUCCUUUUGCCAAUAACGGUGUAAGAUCUUGAAGGUGCUGUUGCAGGGAAGACGAUGGAUUCUCUCGAGACCUCUUCGUGUGUGCUUGAUUCAGAUUCUCAUCUCCAAACGUACCGAUUGCCAGCAACACAUGAGGUCCAUUGUUGAAUUCUUCUGGAAAAUCCGGGGGCCUGCUGUGGCUGCAAGUGCACGAAGAAGAUGGACAACGAAGAAAAGGACAGCGACUGAGCUAUCACGCACGAAGAAGAUUUGAAGAAGAACAUCCUCUUUAUCAGAAAUAUAAAAUAAUAUAUAUAUAUAUGGGUGGCCAAUGGAAAGAGGUAGCUCUGGUUGGUACAUAUCAGAUACGUUAUAUAUAUUAUAUUAUAUAGCCCACCUUCUCGUGGGGAUGUCUCUCACUAACCGAACCAUCAGGGCGCACCUCCUGAAUCUCAUUUACAUUGGUUCUAACACCAAAUAUAUAUUUUUUUAAAGACCAUUCUCAAACUUCAACCAUUCCCGUCAAAUUCCUUCCCCGGUUGCUAAUAUACAACAUUUAAAUAA